UUCUGGUUGAUCCUGCCAGAGGCCACUGCUAUCAGAGUUCGAUUAAGCCAUGCGAGUCGAGAGGUGCAAGACCUCGGCAUACUGCUCAGUAACACGUGGACAAUCUAACCUAUGGAAGAGGAUAACCCCGGGAAACUGGGGAUAAUACUCUAUAGACUAUGGAUGCUGGAAUGCUUUGUAGUCGAAAGGUCCGCCGCCAUAGGAUGGGUCUGCGGCCGAUUAGGUUGUUGUUGGGGUAACGGCCCAACAAGCCUGUAAUCGGUACGGGUUGUGGGAGCAAGAGCCCGGAGAUGGAUUCUGAGACACGAAUCCAGGCCCUACGGGGCGCAGCAGGCGCGAAAACUUUACAAUGCGGGAAACCGUGAUAGGGGAACUCUGAGUGCCCGUUAAAUCGGGCUGUCCAUUUGUUUAAAUAACAAGUGAAGAAAGGGCCGGGCAAGACCGGUGCCAGCCGCCGCGGUAAUACCGGCGGCUCGAGUGGUGGCCACUAUUACUGGGCUUAAAGCGUUCGUAGCUGGUUUGUUAAGUCUCUGGGGAAAUCUUCCGGCUCAGCCGGAAGGCGUCUCAGGGAUACUGGCAGACUAGGGACCGGGAGAGGUGAGGGGUACUCCAGGGGUAGGAGUGAAAUCCUGUAAUCCUUGGGGGACCACCUGUGGCGAAGGCGCCUCACCAGAACGGCUCCGACAGUGAGGGACGAAAGCUGGGGGAGCAAACCGGAUUAGAUACCCGGGUAGUCCCAGCUGUAAACGAUGCGCGUUAGGUGUAUCGGUGACCACGAGUCACCGAGGUGCCGAAGAGAAAUCGUGAAACGUGCCGCCUGGGAAGUACGGUCGCAAGGCUGAAACUUAAAGGAAUUGGCGGG
rnacentral:rRNA from 1 species